UUGCUUUGGCAGCACAUAUAUUAAAAUUGGAAUGAUAAAGAGAUUAGCAUGGCCCUGUACAAGAAUGACACACAAAUUUAUGAAGCUUUCGACUUAAAAUCAAUUUUUU